rnacentral:rRNA from 1 species
CGCUAGCUACAGGCUUAACACAUGCAAGUCGCCUUUCAGCAUUUCAGUUUGCUUGCAAACUGGAGAUGGCGACCGGCGCACGGGUGAGUAACACGUAUCCAACCUGCCGAUAACUCGGGGAUAGCCUUUCGAAAGAAAGAUUAAUACCCGAUGGCAUAAUUAGACCGCAUGGUCUUAUUAUUAAAGAAUUUCGGUUAUCGAUGGGGAUGCGUUCCAUUAGGCAGUUGGUGAGGUAACGGCUCACCAAACCUUCGAUGGAUAGGGGUUCUGAGAGGAAGGUCCCCCACAUUGGAACUGAGACACGGUCCAAACUCCUACGGGAGGCAGCAGUGAGGAAUAUUGGUCAAUGGGCGCAGGCCUGAACCAGCCAAGUAGCGUGAAGGAUGACUGCCCUAUGGGUUGUAAACUUCUUUUAUAUGGGAAUAAAGUUUUCCACGUGUGGAAUUUUGUAUGUACCAUAUGAAUAAGGAUCGGCUAACUCCGUGCCAGCAGCCGCGGUAAUACGGAGGAUCCGAGCGUUAUCCGGAUUUAUUGGGUUUAAAGGGAGCGUAGGUGGACAGUUAAGUCAGUUGUGAAAGUUUGCGGCUCAACCGUAAAAUUGCAGUUGAUACUGGCUGUCUUGAGUACAGUAGAGGUGGGCGGAAUUCGUGGUGUAGCGGUGAAAUGCUUAGAUAUCACGAAGAACUCCGAUUGCGAAGGCAGCUCACUGGACUGCAACUGACACUGAUGCUCGAAAGUGUGGGUAUCAAACAGGAUUAGAUACCCUGGUAGUCCACACAGUAAACGAUGAAUACUCGCUGUUUGCGAUAUACAGUAAGCGGCCAAGCGAAAGCAUUAAGUAUUCCACCUGGGGAGUACGCCGGCAACGGUGAAACUCAAAGGAAUUGACGGGGGCCCGCACAAGCGGAGGAACAUGUGGUUUAAUUCGAUGAUACGCGAGGAACCUUACCCGGGCUUAAAUUGCAUUUGAAUAAUCUGGAAACAGGUUAGCCGCAAGGCAAAUGUGAAGGUGCUGCAUGGUUGUCGUCAGCUCGUGCCGUGAGGUGUCGGCUUAAGUGCCAUAACGAGCGCAACCCUUAUCUUUAGUUACUAACAGGUCAUGCUGAGGACUCUAGAGAGACUGCCGUCGUAAGAUGUGAGGAAGGUGGGGAUGACGUCAAAUCAGCACGGCCCUUACGUCCGGGGCUACACACGUGUUACAAUGGGGGGUACAGAAGGCAGCUACCUGGUGACAGGAUGCUAAUCCCAAAAGCCUCUCUCAGUUCGGAUCGAAGUCUGCAACCCGACUUCGUGAAGCUGGAUUCGCUAGUAAUCGCGCAUCAGCCAUGGCGCGGUGAAUACGUUCCCGGGCCUUGUACACACCGCCCGUCAAGCCAUGAAAGCCGGGGGUACCUGAAGUACGUAACCGCAAGGAGCGUCCUAGGGUAAAACUGG